rnacentral:rRNA from 1 species
AUUGAACGCUGGCGGCAGGCCUAACACAUGCAAGUCGAGCGAGCGGCGGACGGGUGAGUAAUGUCUGGGAAACUGCCUGAUGGAGGGGGAUAACUACUGGAAACGGUAGCUAAUACCGCAUACCAUCAGAUGUGCCCAGAUGGGAUUAGCUAGUAGGUGGGGUAACGGCUCACCUAGGCGACGAUCCCUAGCUGGUCUGAGAGGAUGACCAGCCCCACUGGACCUGAGACACGGGCCAGCCUCCGACGUGAGGCAGCAGGAGGGAAUGUUGCACAAUGGGCGCAAGGCUGAUGCAUCCAUGCCGCGUGUGUGAAGAAGGCCUUCGGGUUGUAAAGCACUUUCGGCGGAGAGGCGUUACCCGCAGAGGAAGCACCGGCUAACUCCGUGCCAGCCGCCGCGGUAAUUC